ensembl:snRNA U6 U6 spliceosomal RNA
AUGCUCCCUUGGGCAGCGCACAUUCUAAAACUGGAAUGACACAGAGGUUACCAUGGAAGAUGACACACAAAUUCACGAAGCUUUCCAUAUUUUU